CCUACGGGAGGCAGCAGUGAGGAAUAUUGGUCAAUGGACGAAGGCCUGAACCAGCCAAGUCGCGUGAAGGAUGACUGCCCUAUGGGUUGUAAACUUCUUUUAUAUGGGAAUAAUAAUUACUACGUGUAGUCUGUUGUACGUACCUUAUGAAUAAGCAUCGGCUAACUCCGUGCCAGCAGCCGCGGUAAUACGGAGGAUCCGAGCGUUAUCCGGAUUUAUUGGGUUUAAAGGGUGCGUAGGCGGUAUUUUAAGUUAGUGGUAAAAUGUCGGGGCUUCACCUAGAAUUGCAAUUGAAAAUGGCGUACUUGAGUACAGAAGAGGUAGGCGGAAUACGUGGUGUAGCGGUGAAAUGCUUAGAUAUAACGUAGAACCCCGAUAGCGAAGGCAGUUCACCAGACUGUAACUGACGCUGAAGCUCGAGAGUGUGGGUAUCGAACAGGAUUAGAUACCCGUGUAGUC
rnacentral:rRNA from 1 species